CACUCCUGCGGGAGGCAGCAGUGGGGAAUAUUGCACAAUGGGCGCAAGCCUGAUGCAGCCAUGCCGCGUGUAUGAAGAAGGCCUUCGGGUUGUAAAGUACUUUCAGCGGGGAGGAAGGCAAUACGGUUAAUAACCGUGUUGAUUGACGUUACCCGCAGAAGAAGCACCGGCUAACUCCGUGCCAGCAGCCGCGGUAAUACGGAGGGUGCAAGCGUUAAUCGGAAUUACUGGGCGUAAAGCGCACGCAGGCGGUCUGUCAAGUCGGAUGUGAAAUCCCCGGGCUCAACCUGGGAACUGCAUUCGAAACUGGCAGGCUUGAGUCUUGUAGAGGGGGGUAGAAUUCCAGGUGUAGCGGUGAAAUGCGUAGAGAUCUGGAGGAAUACCGGUGGCGAAGGCGGCCCCCUGGACAAAGACUGACGCUCAGGUGCGAAAGCGUGGGGAGCAAACAGGAUUAGAUACCCCUGUAGUCCCAUG
rnacentral:rRNA from 1 species